GUAGGUGAACCUGCGGAAGGAUCAUUGACAAAUCUAAAAGGAGCUUGCUCCUUAGAGAUCCCUCAAGGAGACGCAAGUUUCUUUGAGGUUCUCAUGUUAACCUGUUGUAUUGUUUGACAAAAUUAGUGCCUAAUAUAAAAACAACUUUUAACAAUGGAUCUCUUGGCUCUU
rnacentral:misc_RNA from 1 species